UACGUAGGUGGCAAGCGUUAUCCGGAAUUAUUGGGCGUAAAGAGCGCGCAGGUGGUUAAUUAAGUCUGAUGUGAAAGCCCACGGCUUAACCGUGGAGGGUCAUUGGAAACUGGUUGACUUGAGUGCAGAAGAGGGAAGUGGAAUUCCAUGUGUAACGGUGAAAUGCGUAGAGAUAUGGAGGAACACCAGUGGCGAAGGCGGCUUCCUGGUCUGCAACUGACACUGAGGCGCGAAAGCGUGGGGAGCAAACAGG
rnacentral:rRNA from 1 species